rnacentral:rRNA from 1 species
GACCUGCGGAGGAUCAUUAUUGAAAUAAACCUGAUGGGUUGUUGCUGGUUCUCUAGGGAGCAUGUGCACACCUUGUCAUCUUUAUAUCUCCACCUGUGCACUUUUUGUAGACCUUUCAGGUCUAUGUUGCUUCAUUUACCCCAAUGUAUGUUAAUAGAAUGUUGUGCCUAUAUAAUAUAUACAACUUUCAGCAACGGAUCUCUUGGCUCUCGCAUCGAUGAAGAACGCAGCGAAAUGCGAUAAGUAAUGUGAAUUGCAGAAUUCAGUGAAUCAUCGAAUCUUUGAACGCACCUUGCGCUCCUUGGUAUUCCGAGGAGCAUGCCUGUUUGAGUGUCAUUAAUAUAUCAACCUUCUCUUUUUUGAGUUGUUUGGAUGUGGGGGUUUGCUGGCCUCUUAAAUGAUUCAGCUCCCCUGAAAUGCAUUAGCAGAACAACCUGUUCAUUAGCGUGAUAAUUAUCUAUGCUAUUGAAUGUGAGGGCAGUUCAGCUUUCUAACCGUCCUUGGACAAUUCAUCAUUAAUGUGACCUCAAAUCAGGUAGGACUACCCGCUGAACUUAA